rnacentral:rRNA from 1 species
UACGUAGGGCGCAAGCGUUGUCCGGAUUUACUGGGCGUAAAGAGCGCGCAGGCGGUCGUUCAAGUCGCGUGUGAAAGCCCCCGGCUCAACUGGGGAGGGUCACGCGAUACUGAUCGACUCGAAGGCAGGAGAGGGUAGUGGAAUUCCUGGUGUAGCGGUGAAAUGCGCAGAUAUCAGGAGGAACACCGGUGGCGAAGGGCGGUGCUCUGGGCCGGAACUGACGCUGAGGCGCGAAAGCAUGGGGAGCGAACGGG